UACGUAGGGUGCAAGCGUUUGUCCGGAAUUAUUGGGCGUAAAGAGCUCGUAGGCGGUUUGUCGCGUCGAAUGUGAAAACCCGGGGCUCAACCCCCGGGCCUGCAUUCGAUACGGGCAGACUAGAGUUCGGUAGGGGAGUCUGGAAUUCCUGGUGUAGCGGUGAAAUGCGCAGAUAUCAGGAGGAACACCGGUGGCGAAGGCGGGACUCUGGGCCGAUACUGACGCUGAGGAGCGGAAGCGUGGGUAGCAAACAGG
rnacentral:rRNA from 1 species